GAUGAAGAACGCAGCGAAAUGCGAUAAGUAAUGUGAAUUGCAGAAUUCAGUGAAUCAUCGAAUCUUUGAACGCACAUUGCGCCCCUUGGUAUUCCGAGGGGCAUGCCAGUUCGAGCGUCAUUAUAACCCCUCAAGCUCAGCUUGGUGUUGGGGCCUGCUGCACUGGCAGCCCUUAAAAUCAGUGGCGGCGCCAUCUGGCUCUAAGCGUAGUAAUUCUUCUCGCUAUGGAGUCCUGGUGGAUGCUUGCCAUCAACCCCCAAUUUUUCUAUGGUUGACCUCGGAUCAGGUAGGGAUACCCGCUGAACUUAAGCAUAUCAAUAAGCGGAGGA
rnacentral:misc_RNA from 1 species